UACGUAGGGUGCAAGCGUUAAUCGGAAUUACUGGGCGUAAAGCGUGCGCAGGCGGUUUUGUAAGUCUGUCGUGAAAUCCCCGGGCUCAACCUGGGAACUGCAUCUGUGACUGCAUCGCUGGAGUGCGGCAGAGGGGGGAUGGAAUUCCGCGUGUAGCAGUGAAAUGCGUAGAUAUGCGGAGGAACACCGAUGGCGAGGGCAAUCCCCUGGGCCUGCACUGACGCUCAUGCACGAAAGCGUGGGGAGCAAACAGG
rnacentral:rRNA from 1 species